AGUGAACGCUGGCGGUAGGCCUAACACAUGCAAGUCGAACGGCAGCACAGUAAGAGCUUGCUCUUACGGGUGGCGAGUGGCGGACGGGUGAGGAAUACAUCGGAAUCUACUUUUUCGUGGGGGAUAACGUAGGGAAACUUACGCUAAUACCGCAUACGACCUACGGGUGAAAGCAGGGGAUCUUCGGACCUUGCGCGAUUGAAUGAGCCGAUGUCGGAUUAGCUAGUUGGCGGGGUAAAGGCCCACCAAGGCGACGAUCCGUAGCUGGUCUGAGAGGAUGAUCAGCCACACUGGAACUGAGACACGGUCCAGACUCCUACGGGAGGCAGCAAUGGGGAAUAUUGGACAAUGGGCGCAAGCCUGAUCCAGCCAUACCGCGUGGGUGGAGAAGGCCUUCGGGUUGUAAAGCCCUUUUGUUGGGAAAGAAAAGCAGCAGGUUAAUACCCCGCUGUUCUGACGGUACCCAAAGAAUAAGCACCGGCUAACUUCGUG
rnacentral:rRNA from 1 species